rnacentral:rRNA from 1 species
UACGUAGGUGGCAAGCGUUGUCCGGAAUUAUUGGGCGUAAAGCGCUCGCAGGCGGUCUUUUAAGUCUGAUGUGAAAUCUCGUGGCUCAACCACGAAAGGUCAUUGGAAACUGGGGGACUUGAGUACAGAAGAGGAGAGUGGAAUUCCACGUGUAGCGGUGAAAUGCGUAGAGAUGUGGAGGAACACCAGUGGCGAAGGCGACUCUCUGGUCUGUAACUGACGCUGAGGAGCGAAAGCGUGGGGAGCGAACAGG